rnacentral:rRNA from 1 species
CUAUGUUGGCCGGGCGACGGUUGUCCCGGUUUAAGCGUGUAGGCUGGUUUUCCAGGCAAAUCCGGAAAACCAAGGCUGAGGCGUGAUGACGAGGCACUACGGUGCUGAAGCGACAAAUGCCCUGCUUCCAGGAAAAGCCUCUAAGCAUCAGGUAACAUCAAAUCGUACCCCAAACCGACACAGGUGGUCAGGUAGAGAAUACCAAGGCGCUUGAGAGAACUCGGGUGAAGGAACUAGGCAAAAUGGUGCCGUAACUUCGGGAGAAGGCACGCUGAUAUGUAGGUGAAGCGACUUGCUCGUGGAGCUGAAAUCAGUCGAAGAUACCAGCUGGCUGCAACUGUUUAUUAAAAACACAGCACUGUGCAAACACGAAAGUGGACGUAUACGGUGUGACGCCUGCCCGGUGCCGGAAGGUUAAUUGAUGGGGUUAGCGGUAACGCGAAGCUCUUGAUCGAAGCCCCGGUAAACGGCGGCCGUAACUAUAACGGUCCUAAGGUAGCGAAAUUCCUUGUCGGGUAAGUUCCGACCUGCACGAAUGGCGUAAUGAUGGCCAGGCUGUCUCCACCCGAGACUCAGUGAAAUUGAACUCGCUGUGAAGAUGCAGUGUACCCGCGGCAAGACGGAAAGACCCCGUGAACCUUUACUAUAGCUUGACACUGAACAUUGAGCCUUGAUGUGUAGGAUAGGUGGGAGGCUUUGAAGUGUGGACGCCAGUCUGCAUGGAGCCGACCUUGAAAUACCACCCUUUAAUGUUUGAUGUUCUAACGUUGGCCCGUAAUCCGGGUUGCGGACAGUGUCUGGUGGGUAGUUUGACUGGGGCGGUCUCCUCCUAAAGAGUAACGGAGGAGCACGAAGGUUGGCUAAUCCUGGUCGGACAUCAGGAGGUUAGUGCAAUGGCAUAAGCCAGCUUGACUGCGAGCGUGACGGCGCGAGCAGGUGCGAAAGCAGGUCAUAGUGAUCCGGUGGUUCUGAAUGGAAGGGCCAUCGCUCAACGGAUAAAAGGUACUCCGGGGAUAACAGGCUGAUACCGCCCAAGAGUUCAUAUCGACGGCGGUGUUUGGCACCUCGAUGUCGGCUCAUCACAUCCUGGGGCUGAAGUAGGUCCCAAGGGUAUGGCUGUUCGCCAUUUAAAGUGGUACGCGAGCUGGGUUUAGAACGUCGUGAGACAGUUCGGUCCCUAUCUGCCGUGGGCGCUGGAGAACUGAGGGGGGCUGCUCCUAGUACGAGAGGACCGGAGUGGACGCAUCACUGGUGUUCGGGUUGUCAUGCCAAUGGCACUGCCCGGUAGCUAAAUGCGGAAGAGAUAAGUGCUGAAAGCAUCUAAGCACGAAACUUGCCCCGAGAUGAGUUCUCCCUGACUCCUUGAGAGUCCUGAAGGAACGUUGAAGACGACGACGUUGAUAGGCCGGGUGUGUAAGCGCAGCGAUGCGUUGAGCUAACCGGUACUAAUGAACCGUGAGGCUUAACC